ACGGGCGGCUGCAGUGAGGAAUAUUGGUCAAUGGACGAGAGUCUGAACCAGCCAAGUAGCGUGAAGGAUGACUGCCCUAUGGGUUGUAAACUUCUUUUAUAUGGGAAUAAAAUGUUCCACGUGUGGGAUUUUGUAUGUACCAUAUGAAUAAGGAUCGGCUAACUCCGUGCCAGCAGCCGCGGUAAUACGGAGGAUCCGAGCGUUAUCCGGAUUUAUUGGGUUUAAAGGGAGCGUAGGUGGAUUGUUAAGUCAGUUGUGAAAGUUUGCGGCUCAACCGUAAAAUUGCAGUUGAAACUGGCAGUCUUGAGUACAGUAGAGGUGGGCGGAAUUCGUGGUGUAGCGGUGAAAUGCUUAGAUAGCACGAAGAACUCCGAUUGCGAAGGCAGCGUGCCGUGCCGCCACUGACGCUGAGGCACGAAAGCGCGGGGAUCGAACACGAUUAGAUACCCUAGUAGUC
rnacentral:rRNA from 1 species